rnacentral:tRNA from 1 species
GGGCUCGUAGGGUAGUGGACAUCCUGGGGGUUUCCGGAACCCCCGACCCGGGUUCAAUUCCCGGCGAGCCCA